rnacentral:rRNA from 1 species
AGUGAACGCUGGCGGUAGGCCUAACACAUGCAAGUCGAACGGCAGCACAGUAAGAGCUUGCUCUUACGGGUGGCGAGUGGCGGACGGGUGAGGAAUACAUCGGAAUCUACUUUUUCGUGGGGGAUAACGUAGGGAAACUUACGCUAAUACCGCAUACGACCUACGGGUGAAAGCAGGGGAUCUUCGGACCUUGCGCGAUUGAAUGAGCCGAUGUCGGAUUAGCUAGUUGGCGGGGUAAAGGCCCACCAAGGCGACGAUCCGUAGCUGGUCUGAGAGGAUGAUCAGCCAAACUGGAACUGAGACACGGUCCAGACUCCGACGGGAGGCAGCAGGGGGGAAUAUUGGACAAGGGGCGCAAGCCUGAUCCAGCCAAACCGGGGGGGUGAAGAAGGCCUUCGGGUUGUAAAGCCCUUUUGUUGGGAAAGAAAAGCAGCAGGUUAAUACCCCGCUGUUUUGACGGUACCCAAAGAAUAAGCACCGGCUAACUUGGU